rnacentral:tRNA from 1 species
GCCGAUAAGCUCAAUGGAUGAGCGUUCUAAGGAAAAAGAAAGGAGCGGGUUCAAUCCCCGUCAUUGGCU